ACGGAAGGCAUCAGUGGGGAGUAUUGGGCAAUGGGCGCAAGCCUGACCCGGCAACGCCGCGUGAGGGAAGAAGGUUUUCGGAUUGUAAACCUCUGUCCUUGGUGACGAAGGAAGUGACGGUAGCCAAGGAGGAAGCCCCGGCUAACUACGUGCCAGCAGCCGCGGUAAUACGUAGGGGGCAAGCGUUAUCCGGAUUUACUGGGUGUAAAGGGCGCGUAGGCGGGGAUGCAAGUCAGGUGUGAAAUCUAUGGGCUUAACUCAUAAACUGCACUUGAAACUGCAUCUCUUGAGUGCUGGAGAGGUAGACGGAAUUCCUUGUGUAGCGGUGAAAUGCGUAGAUAUAAGGAAGAACACCAGUGGCGAAGGCGGUCUACUGGACAGUAACUGACGCUGAGGCGCGAAAGCGUGGGGAGCAAACAGGAUUAGAUACCCUGGUA
rnacentral:rRNA from 1 species